GACGAACGCUGGCGGCGUGCUUAACACAUGCAAGUCGAACGGAAAGGCCCUGCUUUUGUGGGGUGCUCGAGUGGCGAACGGGUGAGUAACAAGUGAGUAACCUGCCCUUGACUUUGGGAUAACUUCAGGAAACUGGGGCUAAUACCGGAUAGGAGCUCCUGCUGCAUGGUGGGGGUUGGAAAGUUUCGGCGGUUGGGGUUGGACUCGCGGCUUAUCCGCUUGUUGGUGGGGUAGUGGCUUACCAAGGCUUUGAAGGGUAGCCGGCCUGAGAGGGUGACCGGCCACAUUGGGACUGAGAUACGGCCCAGACUCCUACGGGAGGCAGCAGUGGGGAAUAUUGCACAAUGGGCGGAAGCCUGAUGCAGCAACGCCGCGUGCGGGAUGACGGCCUUCGGGUUGUAAACCGCUUUCGCCUGGGACGAAGCGUGAGUGACGGUAAUGGGUAAAGAGGCACCGGCUAACUACGUG
rnacentral:rRNA from 1 species